rnacentral:rRNA from 1 species
AACGAACGCUGGCGGCAUGCCUAACACAUGCAAGUCGAACGAGUGCCUUCGGGUGCUAGUGGCGCACGGGUGCGUAACGCGUGGGAAUCUGCCCUCAGGUUCGGAAUAACCAUUGGAAACGAUGGCUAAUACCGGAUGCUGACGAAAGUCCAAAGAUUUAUCGCCUGAGGAUGAGCCCGCGUAGGAUUAGCUAGUUGGUGUGGUAAAGGCGCACCAAGGCGACGAUCCUUAGCUGGUCUGAGAGGAUGAUCAGCCACACUGGGACUGAGACACGGCCCAGACUCCUACGGGAGGCAGCAGUGGGGAAUAUUGGACAAUGGGCGCAAGCCUGAUCCAGCAAUGCCGCGUGAGUGAUGAAGGCCUUAGGGUUGUAAAGCUCUUUUACCCGUGAUGAUAAUGACAGUAGCGGGAGAAUAAGCUCCGGCUAACUCCGUGCCAGCCGCCGCAGUAA